rnacentral:misc_RNA from 1 species
GGCAAUUUUGCUGGGGUUUUCCUUUUUUGAGGCGGGUAGUUUGUUUUCUCGGUUGGUUUUCGUGUUAAUUGGCUUAACUGGCGUAAUGAAUCUGUCUCUCUUACCAUGAUAAUUUUUGUUUAAAAAUCGCAUUUACUGGUCAUAAUUUUACUUUGUUUUCAAUUUUUAAAAUGGAGGAUUUUUUUUCUCUGGGUUUUGACGGGAAAAUUACGAUACAACACAGGAGUCAGAAUGGUUGGUUGCUGAGAAAAUCUGAGGAAUUGGAAAUUGGAGAAAAGUGUAAAUUUCGUCUAGUUCUUUAUGUUGUGUUUUCUGGGAAGUGAAAAACCGCUCUAUUAGUGUAGUAAUACUGGAGUGAGAUUGGUCGCUUGUGGAGGAUUCAUAUUUUUCCCGCUUAAAUAAAAUCUUCUAUUAAUUUGAGCUGCAUUUCCUUACCAACAAAUUAUGAAACAAAGUUUCAAUAUUCCACUUCUAAUGAGUCACUGGAGCAAGUGGGCAUUUUGUUCAUUGAAAUUAGGAAAUGCAUGUUUGUUUUUAGUGUGAUAUGGUUUUCGAUUUUGUUAUUGCAGAUGUUGAAGUGUUCCAUUGGCAAUGUGACCCGGGUGAGAUAAGAUUUUCUUCUUACUUAGAAUUAUUUAAUGUCUUAAUCCUAGAUAAAAUAAAAUGAUAGAGUAAAGAUCAUACUGGAUUAUGUCAAAGCUUAAAGUUGGUUCAAAUAAGGAACAUUUAAUAACUAUGCUUAUGGUCUUUGUAAUUGAUCUAUGUAUGUUGUACAUUCAGAGAAGGAAAAUCUGUGCUUGUAUGGCUUUCCCAAUGAGCAAUGGGAAGUCAGUUUACCUGCUGAAGAAGUGCCUCCAGAACUUCCUGAGCCUGCACUUGGUAUUAACUUUGCAAGAGAUGGCAUGCAAGAAAAGGACUGGUUAUCCUUAGUAGCUGUCCAUAGUGAUGCAUGGCUGCUUUCUGUGGCCUUCUAUUUUGGUGCCAGAUUUACAUUUGAUAAAGCUGACAGGAAGCGACUUUUUGAUAUGAUAAAUGAUGUUCCGACAAUAUAUGAAGUUGUGACUGGUGGUGAAAAGAAACAAGUGAAGGAGAAGUCAUCUGUCACCAAUCACAGUAGCAACAAAUCCAAGUCAAACUCCAAAGUGGUAAAAAAGGCACUCUUCAAAAGAUAUUCUAAUUCUUUGGUUUUAUUCCCAAGUGUUUUAAAGUAGCAAUUUUUGUGACUAAAGGCCCAUCAUGCAAUUCUGUUUUUCAAUUGUAGAUUCUUUGAUCCACAAAUAGCAGCAUGGAACAAUAUUUUGGUUCAUUCCUGCGGUCAGGACAAAUGCAGUUGAACUGUUUAGCCCUAAAAGGAGCCUUUAACUAGUUAGUAUUUUAGUUAAGUAGACAAAUAGCUUUAGUCUAUGUUUGAUGAAAUGCUGAAACAUGCUUGUUCAUUGAUUUAGAGUCUUAGACGAAUGGUAAUUCUUUGACUAGUUCUUGUCAAGCCUCUGUGACAGAGGUCAAGUACUACACAUGAUACUUUGGAUUUGGAAUUUUUGAUGAUAGCUGUUUUUUAUGUGCUUGGAUCUUAAGCAUCAUUGAUUUGCUUGCAUAACAAUUGAAUAUGAAUUUUAUAAUGGUGGAUGUUAAUGUCAAUUUAAGUAUCAAUGGCUACUUCAUGCUAUUGUGCAUGUGGUUGGAGAUAUUGUGGGUCAUGAUAUCUUCCUGAAUUGCUUCACCGGGGGAAUUUACAUUCAUUUUAAUUGAUAUUUGUCUCUUAACUGUGCAGAAGUGUGCAUUUCUUUUUUCCUAUCAUUUUCUUUUGUGGGUACCAAUCAUUGACCUCGGGGUUUUCUUUUCCUAAUGAUCUCAAAAUUAGGCAACUGUUGACAUUUGUUCAAUGCCUUGGGUUAUUCUUAUGCUAGAUGUCUAAAAUAAAGAGAAUAAACUGAUAUUGAUUGUUUUCUUUUUUGCUUUCAUAUGCUUGUGUGGCAAGCAGCGAGAAUCUCAGGGAAAGUUUUCAGAAGCAUCACAGCCAAAGGAUGAAGAUGAGGUCUUGGAUGAGGAAGAUACUGACGAGCAUGGGGAGACAUUAUGUGGUGCAUGCGGUGAGAACUAUGCAGCUGAUGAGUUCUGGAUUUGCUGCGACAUCUGCGAGAGGUGGUUCCAUGGCAAGUGUGUGAAGAUCACCCCGGCUAGGGCC